UGAUUUUGUUGGUACUGUUUACUAAAGCUCCUAAACCCUCCACCCUCACUGGGACUGCUUCACAAGUCAGACCACUCAGACCAGCACUACAAAAUUUCCAAAGCCGAAAAUCAAAGUGUCGCUUUCACUUAAAAACUAUUUAAUUUCAUAAAAGAGAAAAAUGUUUGGAGCUCCUUCUAAAGCGCAGGCUAUUCAAGGGAAGCCUGAUGCCAGCAGAGAUGAGAGCAAAGAAGCCAUUAAUGCCCUCAUAGCCAAUCUCAUCACGUUUGGAGUUCUUGUUGGAAUGAUCCGAACUGUUCCUUUUGCCAUCAAGCAAUUCAGCUAAAAUAUUGAAUAAGAAAACCACAAUGAUUGUAAUUUAAGAGGUUAUUCAUGUUUAAUUAAAAAUAUUUAAAAUACAUACUGUU